AAAUGAAUAGACGGGGGCCCGCACAAGCGGUGGAGCAUGUGGUUUAAUUCGACGCAACGCGCAGAACCUUACCAACUCUUGACAUGGCCGUUCUAGCUGCAGAGAUGCAGUGUCCCGCAAGGGGGCGGUCACAGGUGCUGCAUGGCUGUCGUCAGCUCGUGUCGUGAGAUGUUGGGUUAAGUCCCGCAACGAGCGCAACCCUUGUCCGUAGUUGCCAUCAGGUUGGGCUGGGCACUCUACGGGGACUGCCGGUGACAAGCCGGAGGAAGGUGGGGAUGACGUCAAGUCCUCAUGGCCCUUACGAGUUGGGCUACACACGUGCUACAAUGGUGGUGACAGAGGGCAGCCAGGCCGCGAGGCCGAGCAAAUCCCCAAAAGCCAUCUCAGUUCGGAUUGCACUCUGCAACUCGGGUGCAUGAAGGUGGAAUCGCUAGUAAUCGCGGAUCAGCACGCCGCGGUGAAUACGUUCCCGGGCCUUGUACACACCGCCCGU
rnacentral:rRNA from 1 species